AUUGAACGCUGGCGGCAGGCCUAACACAUGCAAGUCGAACGAAUGGCGGACGGGUGAGUAAUGUCUGGGAACCUGCCCGAUGGAGGGGGAUGACUACUGGAAACGGUAGCUAAUACCGCAUACCAUCGGUUCUGCCCAGAUGGGAUUAGCGAGUUGGUGGGGUAAAGGCUCACCUAGGCGACGCUCCCUAGCUGGCCUGAGAGGAUGACCAGCCACACUGGAACGGGGACACGGUCCAGACGCCUAGGGGAGGCAGCAUUGGGGAAUAUUGCACAAUGGGCGCAAGCCUGAUGCAGCCAGGCCGCGUGUAUGAAGAAGGCCUUCGGGUUGUAAAGUACUUUCAGCGAGGAGGCGUUACUCGAAGAAGAAGCACCGGCUAACUCCGUGCCAGCAGCCGCGGUAAUAC
rnacentral:rRNA from 1 species